CUCCGCGCGCUGCACUGCGACGCGGUCUCCUCCGUGCGCUGCUGUUUGCGGCCUCCGCUGCGCUGGGACUGGUCGGGCCACAGCCUCUGCUGCGUGGCCUCUUCUAUUCGACAGGUCGGGGCGUUGCCUCCUCUGCGCUGGGACAGGUUGGGGUGCCGCCUCCGCUGCGCGGCCGCUUCUGCUCUCCGACAGGUCGGGGCGCGGCCUCCGCUGCGCGGCCGCUUCUGUGCUCGGAUGCGUCGGUGCGCGGCCUCCGCUGCCCUCGAGCCAACCGCGGCAGGGACGGCGAUCGCCAGCAGCACCAGCCUGUCCCCGCAUCCCACUUGGACCACCCACCUGGCGGUGGAUGAAGACCACGGAGCCCAGGAGCCUCCAGGUGCCUCCCUGGCGAUCCACAUGCAGCAUCCUGAGGAUCUGGAGGAAGCGGAUACCCCUGGAGGGAGAAGAUCAGGGCUGAGAGGAGCCCAGCUGUCCCAGCGCCUGGCCCCGGAUGGCGGGCAGAAGAUGAGACAGGUGCUUAGUUGAUGGACACAUUGCCAUUCCCUCCAUAGCUCAUGAAUGUGGACGCUCACUGCACUCUUGGAUUCCACUAUUGCUUUGCGGAACGGCACAAGUGCUUAUCUGAAACCAUUUCCACUCUAGUGAUUUCCCCGAGGCUUUCCUCCCAGCAAGAGAAGACUUGGUUCGAGCCUCUUCAGACCCCAACGCGAGUGCAGGUGCCUUCCCCAGCGGUGCCUCUGGGUGGGACCGACUUGGACAGGGCCAUUGCAGAUGUGCCAGGAAUGUUUUAAGGGAUUGAGAGGAAAUUGUGCACGGAUUUUGCUGUUUUAAGAGCUAAUAUGUGAACAACUUCAGAAGGACGAUGUUGUUUUAGGGCUGCAGUUUACACAGUCAACGGGACACACAAAAGCAGGCUUGUCAUGGAUUCUGGGGCCUGUCUCCUUGAAUUUCAUUCCCUAGGGAAGUGGCAGCCUUCCAGGGGAGCAGAACUGGAAGAGAGCAGCAAGGCUGACCCCUGUGCCCUUUCCCCGGCUCCCACCAUGUCCUGAGCAGGAUGGCUGGAGAGGGAUGUCACGCUGGACAGCCAGCAGCAGGCGGGGUGGGGAAGGGCCUGGAGCAACUCUGGGGCCAAAGCCCACCCAGCGAGGCCUCUCUGGGGCUCCUGGGGUGGGUGCCCCUGCAGAGGGCUGCAUUCUGACUCUGGAAGGCCACACAGCCCCUACACUGCUCAGGAAGGUCCCCCAAGAUGGUUGUUCCCAGCCACAUUUGUGCUGGGAAGCCUGCUCCUUGGGGACAAAGAUGUAGUCGAGAAGAGACAGACAACCCAAGAGGCUUGCUCACUGACUGUAGUGAGAACUUGCCACCCAGAGACGCAGGCCCGAGGCCUCACGGUUCCACCAACACCAAAGGAAGAUGCCACCAUGCUUCCAAGCUCUGCCCGGAAUGGAGGGGCAGCAGACGCUUCCCAGCUCACUCUGAUGCCUCACUCUGAUGCAUGGCCAGAGGCAGGUGGGCAAGCAGAACAAGCGCCACCCCACGGGGCACAGGGGCACGGCCCCCGGGCCUCAGCAGAUCUGUGCACCGCACUGCGCCCCAAGCAUCGGACCGUGUGGGCCCAGUGAGGGAGGCAGAGCUUCACCCUGAAAAUCAGUCGGUGCAGUUCCCUGGGUUCCCAAGGAAGAGGGGAGAGGACGGCGACCAUCUUCCCAGGGCAGAGGCCUCUGACAAACUCUAACAGCGUCCUUGUGGUUCUCUGUUCCCAGCAAAGGAGGAAGAAAAGGAAUCUAGCCUGGUAAACAGCACCUGCAGAAACCCCACAGCUCACAUCACUCCCACGGAAGGAGCAGUGCUCGCCCCUCCGCGCCAGGAGCAGGACAGGGACAUCUGCUCUCUGCUCACCGCUGAGAGUGGGGUGGGAGGCCUAGCCGGUGCUGUCAGGGAAAAGCAAGAAAUAAAAAGCAUAUGGAUUGGAAAGGAAAAAAUAAGACUUAACUUUAUUUGGGACAACAUGAUCGUCUCCAUAGAAAAUCCUAAAGAAUCUACAAAAAACAAACAAAAACAAAUGAACAAAAAUCCUUCUAGAACUAAUUAGGUUAGCAAAGACACAGGACACAAGGUCAAUAUAAAAAAAUCAGCUGUGCUUCUGCAUCCUGGCAGCAAACGGUCCAAAAACGAAAUGGAGGAAGCGGCAUCAUCGAAGCCACUUCAGAAACAUGAAGCACUUAGUAACAUAUCUAGCAAGUUCUGUGCCCUGGGUCACAAACAAUGCGUGGAGAGAGGCUGUAGGUUCACAGUCAGAAGACUGGGACACCCGCGCCCGUGCACACCGGGCAAGGCCGGGAAGGAUUCCUGCAGGGGUUGUGUGCUUUGUUUUUUGAUAGAAACCAAUGGCUGAUUGCAAGAUUUACAUGAGCAUGUGAAGGUCUGGCAGGCAUCACACUUCUGAAAAUGAGCAAACUUGGAGGAUUAACAGGACCUGAUUUCAAGGCUUAGUAUAAAAGUCACAGUAAUCAGGACAGGGCUUUUCUGGCAGAACAGAUCACAAAGUCCAGAAAUCGGACCCACACAUGGCCAACUGAUUUCCAUCAAAGGUGCCAAAGUAAUUCCAUGGAAAGAAAGUCACUGGGACGACGGGGUCACCACAUGCAGAAGACUUAACCCCGAUCCGUGCCUGUCACUGUGCAUAAGAUUGAACUUGAAAUGAAUCGCAGAUCUAAACAAGAAAUGUGAAACUAUAGGAUUUUUACAGAAAACAGGAGAAAAGGCUUUGUAACCUUGGAUUAGGCAAAUAUUUCUUAGAACACAAAAAAACAUGAACCUUACAGGGGGAAAAAAAAGUCUUGAUGAAUUGGACAUCAUCAAAAUUAAAAACUGCUGCUCGUUUGAAAGGUCCUGUUGGGAAAAUGCAGAGAUGAAGACUGGGAGGGAAUAUCCACAAACCGCAGAUCUACAAAGACUCGCAUCUACACCGCAGGCCCCGCUCUCCCGACCCGACCCAGCGCAGCCCAGGGGCCGAGGUCUGCAGAAGGCUGGGUGGACCUGUGAACGGCGCAUGUGCCCGUCAGUCCCUGGGUCGGGGGGACCCCCAGGAGGGCGGGGCUCGAGACACAGGCAACACCGAGUGCUGGGGAGCCCGCCACCAUGGCGCCCACAGCCGCCGCGCAGGCCGUUUGGCAGUUUCUCGGGACGGGAAGCGGCCUGGCCGUGGGAUCCAACAGCCCCACUCCCAGGCCCCGGCCCAAGAGGAAUGAAGACAUGAUUCCUCCAGGACCUGAGCACAUCCGUGCAGCCCUCUCGACAGCUGAACGGGAACGGCUCAAGUGUCCGUCCGCCUGUGAACGGAUAAACAAACUGUGGUACACUUUAUCCUUUCCAAACAAAAGGAAACAAACUACUGAAUGCAGACGGUGACACAGAGGAGCCCCACACGCGCCGUGCCAAGUGAUGGAAGCCAGGCUCGGUGCUUGCUGCGGAUUCCAACCCCAUGACGCCGGGAGGCCGCAGAGCCCACGCCGCCUGUUCCCUGGUGCUGGGCGCCCCCGGGCGACGGCCCGGCGCGCACUGGGCUUCGGGGGCUGACAGCUGCACGUUGCCAGACCCCUGGAACUGGACACCUGAAGAGGGGAGGGUUGUCUGUCCUCAAAACCCCAACAGACCUGAGCCCCAACAAGAAGAGACCAAAGUCACAAGACCCCCCCUCCCCGGAGACUCGUGUGCCCCGAUUGUUUCUUAGAGUUGUCAGAGGGUGGUGAGCAGUCGAAGAUCUGGGUUUGGGAGAUUAGGAAACAGAAAACCAAAAAGUAACCGGACACACUGAGGCCCCUGUCUCCCCAGGUCCUUUCCAGAAGCCCCUGACCGUCCACUGGAGAGCCCUGGAGCUGCCCUCCUGCCUGUUCUAGGACUCACGAGGGGCGCUGGCUUGUGCCCUCAGGCCCAUCUCAGCCACUGA